rnacentral:rRNA from 1 species
ACGUAGGAGGCAAGCGUUAUCCGGGGUUACUGGGCGUAAAGGGCGUGCAGGCGGUUGGCUAAGUUCGUUGUGAAAGCGCCCAGGCUUAACCGGGCGAGGACAGUGAAGACUGGUCAGCUAGAGGACGGUAGAGGGGUGUGGAAUUCCGGGUGUAGUGGUGAAAUGCGUAGAGAUCCGGAGGAACACCAGAGGCGAAGGCGACACGCUGGGCCUGGCCUGACGCUCAGACGCUAAAGCAUGGGGAGCAAACGG